UUUUUUAAUUGAAAACUUGUAUGAAGGGUUGAACGAGAUAUUAGCUGUUUCAUAAAAAAUAUUAGAAAUUAACUUUUUAGUAAAAAGGCUAAAAUGAAAUUAAAAGACGAGAAGACCCUAUAGAGUUUUAUAUUUUUAAAAAUUUAAUUUAUUUAGAUAAUUUAAAAUUUUAUAUUUAAAAAUAUUUUGUUGGGGUGACAAUAAAAUUUAAUAAACUUUUAUUUAUUUAAUACAUUGAUUUAUGAAUAAUUGAUCCAAUUUUAUUGAUUAAAAGAUUAAAUUACCUUAGGGAUAACAGCGUAAUUUUUUUAUAGAGUUCUUAUCGAUAAAAAAUUUUGC
rnacentral:rRNA from 1 species